UUAGCAUAGGCUUUUGAUGUCUGUAUAAGCGGACGGCGAUGCAUAAAAACUCAUUAAAGUGAAUAACACAAUUCAACUACUACACCGACGUCACAUGCGCCAUCUCUGCUUCGAACCCAAGCGAUUUCCCGCAACCUACGAGCCAUGGAUCUCUCGAGACCAUCGAAGCAUCAUCCUGCUCCUCCUCCAGAGCUGCUCCUCGAAGCAGCAGCUCGCUCAAAUCCACGCCCGAAUGAUCCGCACUCGCCUCGUACAAGACACCUUCGCCGUCAGCCGAAUCAUUGCGCUCCUCACGUCUCCCUCUGCCCUCUUCAGCACGGUCUACGCCCGUCGCGUGUUCGACCAGAUUCCCCAUCCUAAUCUCUUCAUGUGGAACUCCAUGAUCAGGGGUUACACGCAUCAUCGUGCUCCCAGGGAUGCGCUGUCCACUUUCAAGUUGCUGCUGGCUUGCGGAGGCUCCUCGCCCGACACCUACACCUAUGCUGCCACAGCGAGAGCCUGUGCGCAGCUCAACAAUCUUCCCACCGGAAGCGCGGUGCACGGGCUGGUCAUGAAAUGCGGCUUCGAUUCGGACAUGUUCGUAACGUCGGGAAUCAUCAGCUUCUAUAACGGCUGCGGAAAGGUUGAUGUCGCGAGGCAGAUGUUCGAUGAAAUGCCGCACAAGGACGUGGUGUCGUGGACGUCGAUGAUCUCUGGUUACCUGCAACUGAAUCAGCUGGAUGAAGGUUUCCGGUUGUUUGAUGAGAUGAGAAAGGUCGGCGUCGAGCCGAACAAGGUCACCGUAAUGAGCCUGCUCUCGGCGUGCGGCCAGUCGCGAGCCCUCGAGAGGGGUCGUCGGCUUCACUCGAGAAUCUUGGAGCACGGAUGGGAGAGUGACUUGGCCGUCGGCAACUCCGUGGUGAGCAUGUAUGCAAAGUGCGGAGACACGAUAAAUGCCAUGGAUGCAUUCGAGAAAAUGCCCGCUAGAAAUACCGCAACAUGGAAUGCCCUGAUGGGCGGCUUCGUCCGGAGUGGACAUUGCAGAGAAGCUUUGAGUGUGUUCCAAGAGAUGACGUGCAGCUACACGAGGCCUGAUGAGAUAACAAUGGCUACUGCGUUGUCAGCAUGUGCUCAGCUGGGGGAUCUGCAGCAGGGGAAACUUGUUCAUGCUUUCAUCGAGGAGGAGGACAAGAUGAUUACGUGUGACGUCUUUCUUGGAAAUUCCUUGAUCAACAUGUAUGCCAAGAGUGGAGACCUGGCUGAGGCCGAGGCCAUCUUCCAUAAGAUGCUUGUGCGGGAUGUAUUCUCGUGGACAGCUCUGAUAUCUGGUUACGUGCAAGGAAACUGCUACAAAAAAGCAUUGAGCCAUUUCGAAGAGAUGCGGCUUUCACGAGUAAAAGCAAAUGAGGUCACAUUGGUCAGUCUGUUGUCUGCUUGUUCGCAGCUUGGAGCUCUCGACUGGGGCAGACGCAUUCAUGCUUAUAUCGAGGAAAAUGAGGUAAGGAAGGAUGCUUGUCUGCAGAAUGCACUCGUGGAUAUGUACGCCAAAUGUGGCUGCAUCGACAUUGCAUUGCAAAUAUUUCACGAAAUGCGCUGCAAAGAUGCCCACACAUGGAAUGCAAUGAUUGGGGGUCUCGCGGCUAAUGGACGCGGAAGAGAAGCUAUAGGCCUCUUCGAUCAAAUGCAUGAACUCAGAGAUGUGAGACCUGACGGCGUAACUCUCAUGGCUGUUAUUGGUGCAUGUGGGCAUUCAGGGUUGGUGAAGGAGGGGCUUGCCUAUUUCAAUUUAAUGGCUCGGUCAUAUGGUAUUGUUCCUGGAGUCGAACACUAUGGGUGCUUGGUAGACUUACUUGGCAGAGCCGGGUUCAUAGAGGAAGCGAUUGAUCUCAUCGAGAAGAUGCCUAUGACAGCAAACAAUCUGAUAUGGGGUUCGCUUCUUGCGGCUUGUAGGAUCCAUGGGAAGAUGGAGCUGGCUGAGAGGGCUGCACGAAAUUUAAUGAAGUUAGCACCUAAUGAUGAAGGGGCACAUGUGCUUGUUUCAAACGUGUAUGCCGAAGCUCGUAGAUGGGAUGAUGUGGGACAGGUGAGAAGUCUCAUGGGAUGCAAGGGAAUAGCCAAGUCCCCCGGGUGCAGUACCAUCGAGGUGGAUGGAGUCGUUCAUGAGUUCGUUGCAGGGGAUAGAUCAAUACGGCAGAAUGAGUUUGCUUGUUUGGUUCUUGAUAGCCUCGUGCUCCAGACAAAGCUGAUUGCUGGAGGAUCAUGUGGCUAUACUUGAGGCCACAUAUGUUGUGCUUCUUCUGAAGCAUGGUAUUCUUUUUCAUUUGAUGGGUCAAGAAAACAAAAUCUUGAUCUUGGAUGACAGAAGAAUUUGACGGAAAAUUUAACAGGUCAAGGAAAACAAAUCAAUUGGCCGAGCUUCUAGAUGUUGGUUUGAAAGGGCUUUUUUCAGAGACAUGCAAAUCCAUAGAGGUGUUAUUCAGCAACCCAUUCAAUGAUUGUGAGCCAAACACAAACUAGCAAAUGAGCUUUUUGUGAUAUCUGUGACUAAUCCAACAUGUAUAUUGGUGACUAACUUUUUUAUCGAUCCAAUUUAUAUAAUGUCAAGAAGAGACA